rnacentral:misc_RNA from 1 species
CUUAAAUCCCCACUCCAACAAUGGUGCAUCGUUUGGACAGUGAAGUACAUAGACUCAACACACUACCCAGUACCACAACGCAAAGCAGCAGUUGAGAUAGUAACAUAAUGUCCAAUGAUCCCUCUGGCAUUCUAACCAUCCUUGCACUCUCAAAGCAUUCAUUCUAUACUGUAGAAUUCAUGAAGAGGAAUGCUAAAAAGUGUACUGGAUACCUUGAACUGCUGGCUCAAGUAGGAAAAAUCAUUCAGAAUUUUACCCCACAAAGCAAAGAUUCUGGUUCAACUCAGACUCUUUCAGUAACAGUUAAGGCAGGUUCUAAAUUAAGUCACAACAGUUUUGUUGGCCUCAAUCAGAGCCAAAGAAGUGAUGGAGUCUUAAGUUGCCUAAAGGGACUUGUUUAGUUGUGUUUCUCAUUGCGCAACACAUAAUUUAACUACAAUGAAGGUUAGAUAGCUACUAUUAUCCAUGUUUUAUAAUAAUUCCAUAUGUUUUCUGACAGCCAAAUGUUAAGCAAUACAAAUCACUUUGUCUAGUGAUUAACAAAUGAGAUUAGAAUCAAGUCUCAAGACUGUCUAAAAUGGCAGUAAGUUUUGCUUUUGGAUUGACAAUUGGCAAGGCACAAAUACAAUAAGAAACAUGGUCCAAGAAUCCCCCGAAAUUACGCAGUUCCAUGGAAUUUUGAGGCCUUAUUCUGGAAUGCUGCUAAAAAAUAUGUAUAUAGUAAUACACAAAAUGACACACAUCCUUAGACAAACUAUUCCAGGACCUCCAGAUUUCCUAGUUUUGUCUAGAAAUGCUAAUGGGCAAUUUCACCCAGAGAGCCUACCAACUGCUAAUGUAGGGCUAUGACUAUAGUGACACAACCACUUGGCAAUCAGAAUAGAACAUUCCAUCCAAUCCAUGUGUCAGAUAUUCCAUGUAGCUCAGUUAUGACCAAAGACUGGUAAUUAAGAAUCCUGAGAAAGAAAGAAAAAUCAUGAAUGAACACUAGCCCUUUUGGCCAUAACAACCUUUUCGUCCCAUUAAAUGAGUGGACUAAAACCAAUUACAUUAACCCAUGUAGCACAAAUGGUAUGAAAAAUCAUUUUCCAUAUAUCAGUAUAGACUGUCUGAGCCACUCAAAACAAAUUUGUUUAGGAAAAAAGAACAUCACAGUACACUGAAUUACAUCUAAUCACUGGGUAAAGCUUAUGAAUACAACCAUAUAGUUGGCUUAAGACCUACAAGUAUCAAAGAUACUGACUGACCAAAAAACUAGUUGGAACACCCAACCAACCGGACUAUCUAAACUUAACGUCAAUGGUUCUUCUUCUAUAGGAAAACCAGAAAAGGAUGAGCAGGUGGUCUCAUUCCUCUACAGAAUUUCCAAAUCCCAUUUAGAAUCUCACAUACACAGUGCUAUUAUGCAUUGCUUUUGGAGGAGCUGGACUACUCAGUUCUCCACAACGCUUUUAUGGCAUUUACAAUUGCUACUGCUUGUAAAAAAAUUUCCCUUUGAAAUAAUAAUAAUAAUUAAAAAAAACUUCCAAGAUCUCUCCUCUCAUGAUUACUGGCAACCACAAUAACAAUAAUAGGAAAGAAAAUUCACCCAUUCUCAGUGUAAGAACAAACAACAAUAAUACAGCAAAUUUUCCUAAGAAAAUCAAAAUAUCAACAAACCUGUUAAUGCAAAAUAUCAACAAACCUGUUAAUGCGAUUCCAGCAGUUUAUUGAAGCAGAGCUCAAUUGAUGGGUAGAAAAUUAAAUUCAGAGAAGAGAAGAGGAAGAAGGAAACCAUGGAAGCACAGGUUCAGAGUAAAAAUUCCGAAUAAAAAACCCAGAAAUUUGGAUAAAGAACCAAAUUAACCGAAAAUUGGAGAAAUGGAAGGGGCAAUUUUUGGGAAAAAAAAAAAUUUGGACCAUUUC